rnacentral:ribozyme from 1 species
GCCACAGAGAACAGACCGCCUCCGCAUGCGGGGGCAAGGGUGAAACGGUGGGGCAAGAGCCCACCGCGGGACGGGCAACCGGACCGGCACGGCAAGCCCCACCAGGAGCAAUGCCGAAUAGGGAUCGCGCGCGGGGGCAACCCCGCAGGGCCGCCUGCGCCCCAGCAGAUCCGGGUUGGCAGCUAGAGCCCGUCGGCAACGGCGGGACCAGAGGAAUGGUCAUC